rnacentral:rRNA from 1 species
GACGAACGCUGGCGGCGUGCUUAACACAUGCAAGUCGAACGGAAAGGCCCUGCUUGCAGGGUACUCGAGUGGCGAACGGGUGAGUAACACGUGGGUGAUCUGCCCUGCACUUCGGGAUAAGCCUGGGAAACUGGGUCUAAUACCGGAUAGGAGCCAUUUUUAGUGUGAUGGUUGGAAAGUUUUUUCGGUGUAGGAUGAGCUCGCGGCCUAUCAGCUUGUUGGUGGGGUAAUGGCCUACCAAGGCGGCGACGGGUAGCCGGCCUGAGAGGGUGGACGGCCACAUUGGGACUGAGAUACGGCCCAGACUCCUACGGGAGGCAGCAGUGGGGAAUAUUGCACAAUGGGUGCAAGCCUGAUGCAGCGACGCCGCGUGGGGGAUGACGGCCUUCGGGUUGUAAACUCCUUUCGCUAGGGACGAAGCUUUUGUGACGGUACCUAGAUAAGAAGCACCGGCUAACUACGUG